rnacentral:rRNA from 1 species
UACAGAGGUCUCAAGCGUUGUUCGGAUUCAUUGGGCGUAAAGGGUGCGUAGGCGGCGCGGUAAGUCGGGUGUGAAAUCUCGGAGCUUAACUCCGAAACUGCAUUCGAUACUGCCGUGCUUGAGGACGGGAGAGGAGACUGGAAUCUACGGUGUAGCGGUGAAAUGCGUAGAUAUCGUAAGGAAGACCAGUGGCGAAGGCGGGUCUCUGGACAGUUCCUGACGCUGAGGCACGAAGGCCAGGGGAGCAAACGGG